CGUUGGAAAAUAAAUGCACUGUUUGUUGACUGCCUUAAACGUUCUCUGAAUUGGCAGAUAUGGUAAAUAAAACUCCUUUUAACAUAGAAUCCAGCUGCCUGGCCGCAAAGAAUACUCCAGUCACCUCAACAAGGUGAACGUGUUAAACGCAAGAUUCGUGAAGUAAAUUUGAGGACAUGCCGUGCGCACGUGGGGAAGUACAAGAAUGCACUUGUAAAUAUGCACCCGAAGGAUACAUCUCGAAGGCAUGUCUCCUUCGCGUUAGCUAAAGCAGUACAUUUCGUUUCUUUUCUCCGAAACACAACAUUAUCAAGGUACCAUUGAGCAGCAUGUUGUUGAGGGGGGGGGGGGGGCUUGUGAGUAUCAUCCGGGCCGUUGUAUGGAAAUGGCGGGAGCUCUGGGCUACAAG